GCCAGGAAGAGGAAGAAAAGAGUGCAUAAGAGUAGUGUGAAUGAGAACAUCCAAGGAAAGACCAUCAGCUGGCUGAUUCCCUCCUGUAAAGGUGGAGAUUCGGGGUGUGGUGCUUCCUGAUGCCUCUCGUUCCUAUUGUUCUUGCGCGCUCAUUCCUUUUCCUUGUGGUU
rnacentral:pre_miRNA from 1 species